GAUGAAGAACGCAGCAAAAUGCGAUAAGUAAUGUGAAUUGCAGAAUUCAGUGAAUCAUCGAAUCUUUGAACGCACAUUGCGCCCGCUGGUAUUCCGGCGGGCAUGCCUGUUCGAGCGUCAUUUCAACCCUCAAGCCCCCGGGUUGGUGUUGGGGAUCGGCUCUGCCCUUCUGGGCGGUGCCGCCCCCGAAAUACAUUGGCGGUCUCGCUGCAGCCUCCAUUGCGUAGUAGCUAACACCUCGCAACUGGAACGCGGCGCGGCCAUGCCGUAAAACCCCAACUUCUGAAUGUUGACCUCGGAUCAGGUAGGAAUACCCGCUGAACUUAAGCAUAUCAAUAAGCGGAGGA
rnacentral:misc_RNA from 1 species